CAGAGGGUGCAAGCGUUGCUCGGAAUUAUUGGGCGUAAAGGGUAGGUAGGUGGUCUCGUUUGUCUGAGGUGAAAGCCCCGAGCUUAACUUGGGAAGUGCCUCGGAAACGGCGAGACUGGAGUCCUUGAGAGGGUUGCGGAAUUCCCGGUGUAGCGGUGAAAUGCGUAGAGAUCGGGAGGAAUACCAGAGGCGAAGGCGGCAACCUGGAAAGGCACUGACACUCAACUACGAAAGCGUGGGGAGCAAACAGGAUUAGAUACCCUGGUAGUCCACGCUGUAAACGAUCGGUACUAGGUUAGGUGGGUAUUGACCCCUGCCGAGCCGGAGCUAACGCGAUAAGUACCGCGCCUGGGGAGUACGGUCGCAAGACUA
rnacentral:rRNA from 1 species